AAAAAGAGAAGUGGGGAAAGUGAUAGGGCAGAAAACUCUAAGAAAUUUCUGACAUGCAAGGAAAAGAAAUUUCUGACACAGAGAAAAUACAUGGAAUAAAAUGAGAAAAAGAGAAGUGGGGAAAGUGAUAGGGCAGAAAACUCUAAGAAAUUUCUGACAUACAUGGAAUAAAAUGAGAAAAAGAGAAGUGGGGAAAGUGAUAGGGCAGAAAACUCUAAGAAAUUUCUGACAUGCAAGGAAAAGAUGAAACAAAAAGAGGUCAAAUAUGUAAGAGCAGAAAGCUGUCCUUUAAGUUCUGAGAACUAAGAGGAGUGGAGUGACCUAAAAAGCGAGUGGUGGGAGCAAAAGUAAGCUGCAGGGACCCAGGAGGAGCAACAGGAGAGGUGGAGGUGGCAGCCUUCCUUUUUCUCAUCAAAAGAAUUGUUAAACAGAGGUUCCCAGAAAGUCUGUGCACAGUGGAGAUGCCGAA